rnacentral:rRNA from 1 species
GUAAUUACGUGGAAACCGGAGCUAAUACCGGAUAAUAUUUCGAACCGCAUGGUUCGAUAGUGAAAGAUGGUUUUGCUAUCACUUAUAGAUGGACCUGCGCCGUAUUAGCUAGUUGGUAAGGUAACGGCUUACCAAGGCGACGAUACGUAGCCGACCUGAGAGGGUGAUCGGCCACACUGGAACUGAGACACGGUCCAGACUCCUACGGGAGGCAGCAGCA